GAUAAUAAUAAUAAUAAUAAUAAUGAUUUAUAAAAUAUGAUUCUAAAAAAAAUAAAUUAAAAAAUAAAUGCAAAAAUAGGAGUAUCAUACCUGUGUACACGUUGCUUUUUUUCCCACAAUUCUCAUAAAACAUAAACUUGGAAAUAUCACUGACUGAAAAUUUUGCACUCCCAAAAUUAGUUUGCAGUUUCACUGAAAUUCCUUACAUAAAUUAUAAAGGAAAGCACAGUGGUCACAAAUGUUUGACAGGGAAAUAUGAGUGAUAGCGUGUGUUUAUGUGAAAGUGAUUGUGAGUAUAUUGAAGUGUUUGCUUACCACAAGUAUACUGAAGAGAGAGCCAAUUAAAGCCAUCACAUACCCUGAAAUUGUUACAAAAUGGUGUUAAAGAAUCACUUAGGUUCAUAUAACAUACCAUUUUCUAUAUUCAACGUAGUAUUUUCUUAAUGAAAAUGUUUGAUCAAUUUUUUAUGGAAAUUAAUAAAGAUAUAAGGAGUAAUCGACACUUCAACUUAGGUUAGAAAUAGAAAUAGUUCAGCUAACAUAAAUUUAAGAGAAAUUAACACUUCAGAAAGGCAACUGAAAAGAUACAAAACUUAUAUGAACCUAUGUUAUCAUAAUAUACCUACCUCAAAUGCACAAAUGGGUGGAAAAGAAAAUAUGAAAAUAUAUGCUUAUGGACAUAUAUUAAUUUUUGUAGUGUCCUUGACUAGUUGAGUAAAGUAAUACUACAAUGAUAAAGUUUAAGCUCACCAAAAAAUGGAAUCAGAAAAGCAGCACAAACGGUUGAUACAACAAGUGCGAUUCUGAUAAGAACGAAACACCAAUAAGUUCUUGAGAGUCUAUCUGGUAGCAACUCCUCGAGACUUCUUGCUAAUGGGUUCAUCAACAAAGCGAAUUUGUGUAUAGUUAGGGAAAAUCAAACUAAAAUUAUUCCUGGAUUUGUUCAAGUUAUCUCCAAUUAUUGCAUUCAUGACAUACUAGUUUUAGGCAAAAAGGAUAUUUAGUGAAUGGGUUGAUUACCUGAAAAAGAGUAAGGAACACAUGGGUAAAAAAAUGUUUACUUCAGCGAAACUAAUGAAAUAAUGCUAAGAGACGAAGAAAGUUUCAUACUU
rnacentral:lncRNA from 1 species